rnacentral:misc_RNA from 1 species
GAGCCAAAGCUCUGAUACCAAAUUGAUGCGAACUCAAGAGCGAUGCCUUAAAACCCACAAAUAGGUUUGGUUUAUAAUCCUAAGAAAGCCAAAAUCAAGUUCAAAUGCUAAGGGAUACCUUAACCUAUCAAUUAUAGAAAAUUGAAAAUUAAGAUAAUUCAAAGGUAAAAUUAAGGAUUCUUGAUCCAAAGUUUAUAAUCAAAUAAGAACCAAGAAUAUCAGGAUUGUUAAAUCCUACAGUAUUAAUCACUCUUAGAGAAUUUAGUUUAGUUAAUAAAAAAACUUAGAAAAAACCCUCUCUUUUAUUAAUUUUAUCAAAAGUAAUGUUCAACUGAAAAAGUAUUAAGUUAGUCUUGUUGAUGUGAAUCUGCCUAACUUCACCUUAAAAGCUAACUCACAAGGGGAGGUUUGCAAAUCCAUAAAUAUAACGCCCAAGACCUCUCUGUAGAACCGAUGUGGGACGCAUCAUGUAAAGACUACUUUUUGUCCUGUGGGGAAUUUGGGAUUAGUAAUCCUAAACUAGGAUAAUUCAUGGAAUACUAAAUAGGAAGCAAACAAAUCCGUAAAUACUUAAUAGGGAUUAAACAAGAACCCUAUAUUUUCUAUCUAGGAAGUCACAUAGAUGGAAAAGUUGCGAAAAAAAAAAUCAUCAUUAAAACAAUCAAAAUAAUUUAUGAGAAUUUCUUUUGGCCAGCAAUGUAUGACAUACAUUUGUAUGUAUUGUCAUGAUCAUUUUAUGCAGAAUUGUGUAUGCAUGCAACUCAAUGAAUUUAGUAAAUCCUUUUGGGAGGCCAGAGUUUCUUAUAGAAAUCUUGGAGACAUUUUCCACUACUGGCUGUUUGCACCUGUUAAUAAAAUCAUUACAUGAAAAUGUGUAUCAUCAAUUAUGUGAUUAUUUCAUUUAUGCAAAAAUGUGUAAUUCAUAACUUCAAUUUCAAUGUUAAAGAUACUUAUCCGCUAUCAAUUGCUUACACAUGAUUGACUUGAAGUUGAUCACCUGCCAUUGAAAUUUUUGCCUAGACCAUGUCCACCAUAAACUCAAAGCACAAGAUGUAUGGUGGGAUCCACCUUAUUUUACAUUUGGGUCUCACAUGUUUGUAUCUUGGCUCUUGGGUCUAGGUAAGGAAAACCCUUCUUGCCAUACCCCUUGUAAGAGCUUUGGUAGUUGUUCAAAAUUGUUCUACAUCUUGGCAAUUCACAAUUGUUCUUGUCAUGAUAGUCUAUGAGUUUUGCAUUCCAGGUUUCUGAAGUAGUCCUCCAGGAGGGCCAGACCUUUGACUUUUC